UUUAGCGCUAGCGGCUCAGAGCCGUGUGGCGUUCAGGGACCCCUCCCUGCAGUUGGUCAGGACAAACUCACUUUGCCGCAACCGCCAAAAUACCACCACCGUAUCCUGCUCACCGCCACGCCGCCUCCUGUAUCUAUGGAAACAGUAGAGGAGUCAUGUGACUGUGAGCGAGUGGUUUGAUGACGCGUGAACCAACGCUGUGCUCUGAUUGGUUGUGCUUUUGGUUGGAAACAGGAAGUGGGUUGCUGUGACGAUGGCCAUGACGACACAAGAUUGUGUUUUGUUUCUUCUUUUGUACUUUUUAAAGUUGUUUUUCUUUUCUUCUUUUUUUAAGUGAAUUGUUUCACCCAGAGCAGCGUGUCAGGUAUUAUGCAUGAUGUCAAGAGGAUGAUGUCAUCGAUUUGCAACAAGACGCUAGCAGGUAAAUGCUUCUUUGGACUCGCAGGUCAGGCUGAGGUCAAUAGUCACAUUAAGGUCAAAGGUCAGCCGGAGGUCAGGGGUCAGUGUGACGUCACAGUGAGGUGGAGGUCUCUAAGCCGCCCUGCUGCUGGACAUAUUGGUAAAACUAUUGGAUGAAGAUAUGAUUGUUGUUGUUCUCAUAUCUGGAUGCAGAUGAUGUAACAGAUGAAAGGUGACGUGAGUGACAAUAAAGAGCGUUUGUAUUUGCUUUGAUCUCAUCAUUAAUGACUAAAAGCACUUUACUGGAGCACAGAACUAAUACAAUAAGUAAUAAUACAACUGUGACAUGAGAGAACAGGUAUAUACGAGCGAAUAACUAAACAGCAAAGUAUGUGAAGAUAAUAUAUAAUUAGCGAUUUUGCGCUGUACAAAAUAAAAUGAAUUGAAAUGAAUGGAAUUGAGGUAAUAGCACACGGCUGAUUUAACGUCAUCUAAAUGAUGCUCUUUGUGUGCGGCGAUGAGUCCUAGCACAGCGCCGCAGGUUUGUUCUUCUAACAGACAAACAGCCAACAGGACAGACGCAACGUCAUCCACGACAGACAACAACCAGAGAGCUAACGCUAGCUCCACGCUAAAAUGCUAAUGACGCCAGCUAGCUCAACACAUUACCAUAUAUAUGUAUUUAUAAUGUCCUCCUUCUGCACAAUUCUCUCGAAACUGCUAAAAUCUCCUUUGAAAUGUCUUAUAUCACUGAUAUGAUUUCACUGCUUAAGGGUCUAUUUCCAUGAAGCAUGUUUUUAAAGAAUUCUAUUUUAUUCCCUUUCUGAAC
ensembl:lncRNA